rnacentral:lncRNA from 1 species
CUAUAAUAAAGCAUUUAGGAGAUAAUCUGGCACAAAAAAGUAAAUUCACAACAAUACUGUACUCUCAGGAAAAUUCAAAAUCGAUGCUUGUAAUCAAAAGGUAAAAUCAAAAGCUCAAACACAUCAUUGAACGAAUGGAUAGCAACUGUCAUAUUCCUGACUUGGUACAUUUAUCUGAAUUUAUGUCAUAUGAUAUGCACUACUGCCGUCAAUGAGAGGUAAUAAUAUCACACAAAAUAUUCAUUAUGAUAAGUCCACACAUUUCUCCGCACCCAGAUGGGGCUUCAGCUGGCACCAUAUCAAUAACAUAUACAAGUUGUUCAUUUGGCAAAAUUAAGAUAAAAAUACAUGGUUACAUCAAAUCCCUUUAUGAUAUCCAGAUUAUUUUCUUUUUGACAUUUUAAAUGUGCUCCCUUCCCUAAAGUUAAAGACAAUCAAACUUCCAUGCAGACUCAGAAUUUCUUUGUAUUUGUUGAGAUUCCAAAAUCAAAUUUAAUCAAAACUAUUAUCAAUCUUUACUGUGUGUUUGUGUAGGUAAUUCAAAGUAAGAAAGAAGUCAUUAUUGCAGUUAGCUAAAUCUUCAAAUACAAUUAAACAAUGCUUAAGUUAAAAUUACUGACUAAUAAAAGCCUUUCUAUAAACAAUUGCAUUGAAUGCCACUAUUAAAUACUUUGUGUACUAUAUAUAUAAUAUUGCAUCUCAGGUAUAUGACUAGCAUCUCUGAACUAUUGUAUAAAGUAUAAAGUGUAUCAGACUCAAUUAAAUCAUAUCUUGGCUGAUCUAAAAUCUUAUUGGAAUACAUAAAAGUGUAAAAAUACAAAUCGGCAGAUUGUGACUGAAUAAAAAAAAAAGCCUAUUAGCUGUAUAAAAUAAAUAAAUCUACCAUUGUCAUGUGACCUUAACGUUAAUAAAAUGUGGAUAAUUGAUUGGUGCAUUUAUGUAUAUGUGUACUAAAUAAAUUUACUUGUUCUAUUCUUGUCUAUCAAAUUAACGAUUUUACUUUUUUCUAGUUAACAAGAGAAAUUAAAAAAAAAGUCACCUGACUUUGUAAAUUCUGAAUAAAAAAUAAUAUUUUUUUAAUAAAUGGGUAAAACUGUCAUUUAAACUAUAGUUUUAAAAGUCUUGCACAUCAAACCGCCAUUUUUACCUCUCCAAAGUAGUUUUGUAAUUAAAAUGGGGGUUACACAUUUACAUGGAGAAAUCGAUUCCACAUCUGUCACUCUUAUGUAAUUAUAAUAAUUUUACUCUCUGGUAUAAUUUUCAACAUCACCAUAUAAGGAAAUGAAAUGUUGCAUCAAUUUACAGUAGACAAAAUGUUAACAUAUAAUAUAUAUCAAUUAGAAUACAAAAUACUCUAAAAUUGGCAUGUAAGUACAAAAGAUGAAAUUUAAGACUUAAGUAAAUAUUGCACUCUAAUGUAUCUAACUGAAACACCUCAGGCAGUUAAAUGUUCUUUUCUUAAGAGAAUAAUUUUAGUUGUUAAAAAAACCCUAUAAACCAUUUUUUCAUAUCUCUUAAAAUGAUAAGGAUGCCUGAUGUUUGAUCAUAAAACAUUGAAAACAUCCCACCCUGCCCUGCCCUAUUCUGCUAGCACUAGCAUAUUUCAUUCAAUAUGCAAAUAUUUGAAAAAGUUUCACAUCAUAAUAAACAUGUAUAGCUGUUUUAUAUAUUAAUACAUAACUUUGUUAUAAUUGAAAUCCUUUAGAAAAAUUUACAGGAAAGGAAAUUUUAGUUUUACCUGCAUGGCUUCUACCCAACCUUUUUAUUUUCACAAAACCCCAUGCCUAGUUAUUUAGGGGCACUUUCUAUAUCCUUUCUCUAUUUUAAGUAUAACAUCAUGAUCAAAGCAUUGAAUAUUCCAAGGCAUUAUCUCAAUAAGCAUAAUAUUUAAGACACUAGCCCUGAAAGAAUUUCAUCUUAAGUAUCCGAGGUUGAAUAAAGUUUAAAGAUGUGAUCAUCUUAAAUACAUAUACACAUACACAG